rnacentral:rRNA from 1 species
GAUGAACGCUGGCGGCGUGCCUAAUACAUGCAAGUCGAGCGAACAGACGAGGAUCUUGCUCCUCUGACGUUAGCGGCGGACGGGUGAGUAACACGUGGAUAACCUACCUAUAAGACUGGGAUAACUUCGUGAAACCGGAGCUAAUACCGGAUAAUAUAUUGAACCGCAUGGUUCAAUAGUGAAAGACGGUUUUGCUGUCACUUAUAGAUGGCUCCGCGCCGCAUUAGCUAGUUGGUAAGGUAACGGCUUACCAAGGCAACGAUGCGUAGCCGACCUGAGAGGGUGAUCGGCCACCAGGGAACUGAGAAACGGCACAGACUCCUACGGGAGGAAGCAGUAGGGAAUCUUCCGCAAUGGGCGAAAGCCUGACGGAGCAAAGCGGCGUGAGUGAUGAAGGUCUUCGGAUCGUAAAACUCUGUUAUUAGGGAAGAACAAAUGUGUAAGUAACUAUGCACGUCUUGACGGUACCUAAUCAGAAAGCCACGGCUAACUACGUG